ensembl:snRNA U6 U6 spliceosomal RNA
AUGCUCUUGCUUUGGCAGCGUGUAUAUUAAAGUUGAACCACACAGAGAACGUUAGCAUGGGCUCUGCACAAGGGUGAUUCGCAAACUCAUGAAGCACUGCAUAUUUUU